CGGGGUGAUUGCCGCCUGCUUCUCGCGCUCGUCGAGGAUCAGCUUGUCGCGCUUGGUUGCGACUUCGCGAAUCUUCGCCAUCGAGGCGCCGGUGCCGGCCGGGAUCAGGCGGCCGACAAUGACGUUCUCCUUGAGGCCUUCGAGCGGGUCCACCUUGCCGUUGACGGCAGCUUCGGUGAGCACGCGGGUGGUCUCCUGGAACGACGCUGCCGAGAAGAACGACCGUGUCUGCAGGCUCGCCU
rnacentral:misc_RNA from 1 species